rnacentral:rRNA from 1 species
UGGGGAAUCUUCCGCAAUGGACGAAAGUCUGACGGAGCAACGCCGCGUGAGUGAAGACGGCCUUCGGGUUGUAAAGCCCUGUUAUUCGGGAAGAACGAUUCGUUUGUGAACAAUGAACGGAAGUGACGGUACCGAAAGAGAAAGCCACGGCUAACUACGUGCCAGCAGCCGCGGUAAUACGUAGGUGGCAAGCGUUGUCCGGAAUUAUUGGGCGUAAAGAGCGCGUAGGCGGUAUGGUAAGUCUGUCUUAGAAGUGCGGGGCUUAACCCCGUGAGGGGACAGAGACUGUCAUACUGGAGUCUCGGAGAGGAAAGCGGAAUUCCUAGUGUAGCGGUGAAAUGCGUAGAGAUUAGGAAGAACACCGGUGGCGAAGGCGGCUUUCUGGACGAGCACUGACGCUGAGGCGCGAAAGCGUGGGGAGCGAACAGG